rnacentral:rRNA from 1 species
GUGGGGAAUAUUGGACAAUGGGCGAAAGCCUGAUCCAGCCAUGCCGCGUGUGUGAAGAAGGUCUUCGGAUUGUAAAGCACUUUAAGUUGGGAGGAAGGGCAGUAAGUUAAUACCUUGCUGUUUUGACGUUACCAACAGAAUAAGCACCGGCUAACUCUGUGCCAGCAGCCGCGGUAAUACGAAGGGUGCAAGCGUUAAUCGGAAUUACUGGGCGUAAAGCGCGCGUAGGUGGUUUUGUAAGUUGGAGGUGAAAUCCCCGGGCUCAACCUGGGAACUGCCUCCAAAACUGCAUGACUAGAGUACGGUAGAGGGUAGUGGAAUUUCCUGUGUAGCGGUGAAAUGCGUAGAUAUAGGAAGGAACACCAGUGGCGAAGGCGACUACCUGGACUGAUACUGACACUGAGGUGCGAAAGCGUGGGGAGCAAACAGGAUUAGAAACCCCGGUAGUCC